AAGUCGUAACAAGGUUUCCGUAGGUGAACCUGCGGAAGGAUCAUUAACACGUAUCCAACGUUAAACCCCCCCGUGAACCUUUAUUGUGGCACGCCUAUCCGUUAGAAAGUGGCAAUCCCUGGUAAAUCAUCGCCGAACAGUUUUGAUUCAGGGACUUCUGCGUGGGUAGGACAACUGCGCGAGCAAGUGACCUGGCAUCCCUCUGCUUGUUAGUGUCUGAAAGUGUCACUAGCUCGGCCCCCUAGAUCACCCCUUUGCAUGAAAACGGGCCUGCGCUUAAUUGUGCGGCCACCAAACUCGAACAACUGUUAACAAUGGAUAUCUUGGUUCUC
rnacentral:misc_RNA from 1 species